rnacentral:lncRNA from 1 species
UUUGUUUUCCAGUACCAGGGAUCGAACUCACAACCUUGCACUUGCAGGGCAGGCGCUGUGCUGCUGAGCUAAAUCCCCAGCCACCAAGACUAACUACUGAUAAUAUGGAUUCCUCAGAGCUAGUUUCCCAGGUGCUGACUGAAUUUCUACCUCACGUGGGGUCUGGGUCUGCAUAUAUGCAUAAGGCUUGGAGUUCCCUCCUCUCUUCAUGCUGACGGGUAGCAGGGUCCUUCUCUUCACCACCUCACAACUCACAGCUUCCAUCGGAGUUCUUGCUGAUCUCCUGGAGCUUAGAUCUUAGUCAAUCCUUUCCUGGCAAACCACAAGCUGCA